UUGAUCCUGGCUCAGAUUGAACGCUGGCGGCAUGCCUUACACAUGCAAGUCGAACGGCAGCACGGAGCUUGCUCUGGUGGCGAGUGGCGAACGGGUGAGUAAUAUAUCGGAACGUACCCUAGAGUGGGGGAUAACGUAGCGAAAGUUACGCUAAUACCGCAUACGAUCUAAGGAUGAAAGUGGGGGAUCGCAAGACCUCAUGCUCGUGGAGCGGCCGAUAUCUGAUUAGCUAGUUGGUAGGGUAAAAGCCUACCAAGGCAUCGAUCAGUAGCUGGUCUGAGAGGACGACCAGCCACACUGGAACUGAGACACGGUCCAGACUCCUACGGGAGGCAGCAGUGGGGAAUUUUGGACAAUGGGCGAAAGCCUGAUCCAGCAAUGCCGCGUGAGUGAAGAAGGCCUUCGGGUUGUAAAGCUCUUUUGUCAGGGAAGAAACGGUGAGAGUUAAUAUCUCUGCUAAUGACGGUACUCUGAAGAAUAGCAC
rnacentral:rRNA from 1 species